rnacentral:lncRNA from 1 species
CGUGCUAUAUAAAAUCAUUUGCACAUUCCUGAGUAGAGGUAUACUGAUUAUAAGACCCAAAGGUAAUUUCAUAGCAAAAUACAUAAAAUCAGUUGGAGCUUUUAUACAAACAUGGAAACCAACUUUGUAGAACUUUUGCCAUUUGACUUAGGAUUGGAAUAUGAGCUUUUAUACAAUUCAUAUUCUUAUUUGGCAAAUGCACAGUUUAGUAUUACCUCUCUGAUGGCCUUUAUUAGAAAGGCGGUUUUAGAAGCUAUUGUGAUCCACUAAGGAAAUGUUUUAACAGCUAGCGACCACUGCUUGCCUGAAAGGGCGAUCUUAAAUUUGGUGCAGAAAAAAACAAAAACAAAAACAAAAAAAAAACAAAAAAAAAAGAAUAAAAAGAAAAAAAGUAAACAACAUUUGAAGGCCUACAGUGUGUAUAGAGACAACCUCAUCACAAGAUCAUAAGUGUUACCGUUUUAGGGAAUCAAGAUAUUCUAUUUAAUAGAGCUAUAGUAGAUAUAGUCAAUUAAACCUGAUCUCAAAGCUCGAAGAAGCUGAGCAAAACAGGGAAAGAUUGUUAUAUUCAUCUUUAUGAAAUUGGGAUGGAAUUGCUAUGCAGAAUUGAGGUUUGUGGCUUCACUGUUCAUCUUAGGGUGCAUGACAAGCUCCCUUCUCUUAAGAAAGGAAAAAAUUGAUCACCCUAGCUGCAGUGAUGCCUAGAAACCGAAUUGUAUCCACACUAGUCAGUCGAAGCUAAAGGAUUUUCCUUUUUGUUUCUUUGGGGUUUUAUUGAAGGGGCUAGGGGCGGGAAGGGAUUCUUUUCAGUUUUGUAUAAAAACAAAGUUUACUCAUGCUUUAUAUUAUAUUGUGAUUGCAAGCAUUCUAAGCAUUGUGUCGCUGGACUCCUUGUUGAUGCUCUAGAAUCAUCUGUUCCAAGUCUUCAUACACACCUAGCACAUAGUAGGUGCUCACAUAUUAAUUUUCUUCCCUCCCUUAUUGAUCACAUAGCCUCCGUUUCCCCAUAUGAUUCCAACCCAGUGGUAGAUGACAUUUUCAUGUUACAAAGACAUCUACUGGGUAGAAAUGAGUCUUACUUGAAUAAAGGAAUUCUGACAGAUAAGCUUUGGUAGACCAAAAAAAAAAGCAACAGGAAAGAAAAUAUUCUUCAGUAGAACAUUUUUUAAGUGUAGAAAAGAAAGAUGGGAAAUUACUAUGUAACUCUGUUCAGGUUACCUUGACUGAAACACAUGUUUUUGGUGGCUUUCUUUUCCUCAAACAACUCUCUAAAUCCAACUUGCUGGAUUCCUCAUCUGUCAUCACGUUGGAAACCCUUACUCGACCUAUGUAUUUAGAGAGUUUUGUCAGAAAACAUUUUUAACUUGCAGUAUUUAAAAGAACCAUAUUUACUGUUCUUAAAAUGUCAUUCAAAUGCAUGUAUUGUCUAUUGUUUGGGGAUGGGAACUAGUUUUGCAAAAAACACCUAAUGUUGUAUAAUAAUGCCCCAAUGAUCUUGCUGGUUAAAAAUACAGUAUUUUUGGCCAUAAGUUUGUACCACAGUAUUCUUCAUUCUUGAGUCUUCCUUCUCUUGAAGUUGGAGUCUAAGCCUCUCCCAGAAUGUUUUUUAUUAUAAGGAAUAUCAGGAUUAAAUCUUUCUUUCUUUAAAAUACUUUAUACUAUACAUCCAUUUCUCAAAGUAGACAGAUUCAAUAGUUUUUAAGCAAAAAAUAUCUUUUCCUUUCUGAAUAUUAUCAGAAAUACGUCUUUGUGAAAACAUUCAU